rnacentral:lncRNA from 1 species
ACAGAAAUCUGCAGAGACCUUCUUGUCGGAGAUUCGAUGGGAAAAAAACAUCACGUUGGGAGAACCGCCUGGGUUUUUGCACUCGUGGUGGUGUGUAUUUGGGGACCUUUACUGUGCAGCUCCUCAAAGGAGAGACACUUGUGAACAUUCAAGUGAAGCAAAAGCCUUUCAUGAUUAUAGUGCAGCAGCUGCCCCGAGCCCCGUGCUUGGCAACAUUCCCCCCAACGAUGGGAUGCCGGGAGGCCCCAUCCCGCCAGGUUUCUUUCAGGGUCCUCCGGGGUCACAGCCCUCGCCGCACGCACAGCCUCCACCUCACAAUCCUAGCAGCAUGAUGGGACCCCACAGUCAGCCUUUUAUGUCACCGCGAUACGUAGGCGGCCCCGGGCCCCCGAUCAGAAUGGGAAACCAGCCUCCGGGAGGAGUUCUUGGGACACAGCCAUUGCUGCCCAAUUCUAUGGAUCCCACACGACAACAAGGCCACCCCAACAUGGGAGGAUCAAUGCAGAGAAUGAACCCUCCCCGAGGCAUGGGGCCCAUGGGUCCCGGCCCACAGAAUUACGGCAGCGGCAUGAGACCACCACCCAACUCCCUCGGCCCGCCAUGCCCGGGAUUAACAUGGGCCCGGGAGCUGGCAGACCCUGGCCCAAUCCUAACAGUGCUAACUCAAUUCCAUAUUCCUCCUCAUCACCUGGUACCUAUGUGGGACCCCCGGUGGUGGCGGCCCUCCAGGAACACCCAUUAUGCCCAGUCCCGCAGAUUCAACAAAUUCCAGUGACAACAUCUACACAAUGACCUGGCGGCAGGUCCAACUUCCCGAUGGGUCCCGGCUCGGACGGUCCGAUGGGCGGCAUGGGUGGCAUGGAGCCACACCACAUGAAUGGAUCAUUAGGGUCAGGCGACAUAGACGGACUUCCAAAAAAUUCUCCUAACAACAUAAGUGGCAUUAGCAAUCCUCCAGGCACCCCUCGAGAUGACGGCGAGCUAGGAGGGAGCUUCCUCCACUCCUUUCAGAAUGACAAUUAUUCUCCAAG